rnacentral:misc_RNA from 1 species
GCAUAAUGUACCAUGAACUACAUUAUCAAAAAGUCUCCUUUUAAAAAAAAUGGGACAGAGUGACAUAUGAUUUGGGGAUAGAAAAAAGACAAGGUCUCGUUUGGAAUAUUUCUGAAAAAGAUGGCAUUGUGAUGGUUAGAACACCUUUGAUAAAGAUUGCCAUAUAGAAAAGACACAAGUUUUAUAACCUUCACUAAUGCACAAAUGAACCAGAUGUGUUGUAUUCCAUUUUGAAAAUGUAUUUGUUUCAGAAGCUAAACAAUAAUAGGACUAAUCCAAAGGAACCUAAUGAAGAUGUGAAAGAAGAGACUACACUGCUGGUUGGUGAAAGCGUGGAAAGUAGUAGAGAGCGGAUAACUUUAUCAACUUGCAUAUCAGAUACUUCCACCAGUGGAAUGGCAAUCUUAGGAGGGCCAUUACAAGCAUCCAGUGGGCCAAAAGUUUCAGAUGUUUUAGAGCUCUGUAUUUACCUCAGAGACCAGACUGUCAUCCCAUUGAAAGUAAAUAAUGGUCAACAAGCACAAACUGAAGAUCUAUUCAGGAUUGUCCAAGAGGAACAGAAACUUCCCCCAGAAGCUGCGAAUGUUUUCUCUUUGUGGUUAGUGUCCCCAUCACUUGAACUUCGCUUAAAGAAAAAUCACCGUCCUUACUACCUUGUUCAACAAUGGCAAGAGCUGUGUAAACUGUAUACUGACCAGAAAGCAGAAUAUAAGUUGAGAGAUACUCCAUUGCUGAUGUUACAAAGGAAUGUGUUUUAUUCAAAAGAAGAGGAAAUGAAACUUAACGAUGAAACCACAUUGUCUCUUUUGUAUCACGAAGCUCAAUACAAUGUGUUGGAAGGUCGGUAUGUUGUUGAUAAACUAGACUACGAUGAGUUGGCUGCAAUUCAAUUUAUCAUAGAGGAGGGCAAUCUCAUAGGGGUCAAAGGUUUAACACAAAAUCAAAGGCACAAUUUGGAAAGAUUUUACCCAGAAUUCUUGUGCAAAAGACGAUGGCAAAUUCCUGGUCUCAAAAAUUCAUCUCGAAAUGAUAUCGAAGUACGAUUUGAAGAGGCAGUAGUACGAAUUUCACAGGCUUUGCCAGAGCAGUACAGCAAAGUAUCUCUUUAUAAAAUGUAUUUACAGUUAUUAUGGAAUACACCGUUCUAUGGGUCUGCAUACUUCAGUGCUGUCGUUGACCGUCCUACCUCUAAACUCCAGAUGGUUUUCGGAGUGCACUCAAUGCAUGUGUGGGUUUGCAUCAACACGGAGGGAGUCUGUAUCAUAGAAAAAGACAAAGAUUUUGUUGAUCUGGCAGUUCCGUUCACCGAGAUGUCCUGGCAUUUCCAUGACGAUUUGGAGGACGAGAAAUUGCCGUCUUUAUUCAUUCAGUUCCUUGUGAAAGAUGGAGAAGAAACAGUGACAAAGCUGUUAGAAAUUAAUUCCCGACAGGCUAAAUUGAUGAAUGCCCUCAUUGACUCUAUGGUUAAGCGGAAACGCCAGCAGCAACACGUCCAUCGACCUCGCCGUUACAGUGAGCAGAGUUAUGACUCAGUAGAUGGUGCUAUAUCAAGUACCUUCAAUAAAAGUCUCAACAAACUUAAACGUCUCAGUUUGGACACUUACACAGUUGCAGAAGUGAAGUCUUAAAAGGAUUUGGAUUCUGAAGGCAUAAGGCACCACACUUUGGCGGAUUCAUUUUUCUUAUAUGCUGGGGAACGACUCAGUUAAAAGCAGCUUGGUUGACCC